rnacentral:rRNA from 1 species
AGAGUUUGAUCAUGGCUCAGAGUGAACGCUGGCGGCGUGCUUAACACAUGCAAGUCGAACGAGAACGGCUCUAGCUUGCUAGAGUGUCAGCUAAGUGGCGCACGGGUGAGUAAUAUAUAGUUAACCUGCCUCAAAGAAGGGAAUAAUUGUUGGAAACGACUUGUAAUGCCCUAUAUGCCUUUAUUACAUAAGUAAGCAAGGGAAACAUUUAUGGCUUUGAGAUGGGACUGUACGGUAUCAGUUUGUUGGUGAGGUAAUGGCUCACCAAGACUAUGACGCCUAACUGGUUUGAGAGGAUGAUCAGUCACACUGGAACUGAGACACGGUCCAGACUCCUACGGGAGGCAGCAGUGGGGAAUAUUGCACAAUGGACGAAAGUCUGAUGCAGCAACGCCGCGUGGAGGAUGACACAUUUCGGUGCGUAAACUCCUUUUAUAUGAGAAGAUAAUGACGGUAUCAUAUGAAUAAGCACCGGCUAACUUCGUGCCAGCAGCCGCGGUAAUACGAGGGGUGCAAGCGUUACUCGGAAUCACUGGGCGUAAAGAGCAUGUAGGCGGGUAAUUAAGUUGGAAGUGAAAUCCUAUGGCUCAACCAUAGAACUGCUUCCAAAACUGAUUACCUAGAGUAUGGGAGAGGUAGAUGGAAUUUCUGGUGUAGGGGUAAAAUCCGUAGAGAUCAGAAGGAAUACCGAUUGCGAAGGCGAUCUACUGGAACAUUACUGACGCUAAGAUGCGAAAGCGUGGGGAGCAAACAGGAUUAGAUACCCUGGUAGUCCACGCCCUAAA